rnacentral:rRNA from 1 species
GAUGAACGCUGGCGGCGUGCUUAACACAUGCAAGUCGAACGAUGAAGCCCAGCUUGCUGGGUGGAUUAGUGGCGAACGGGUGAGUAACACGUGAGUAAACUGCCCUUAACUCUGGGAUAAGCCUGGGAAACUGGGUCUAAUACCGGAUAGGAGAGUCCACCGCAUGGUGGGUGUUGGAGAGAUUUAUCGGUUUUGGAUGGACUCGCGGCCUAUCAGCUUGUUGGUGAGGUAAUGGCUCACCAAGGCGACGACGGGUAGCCGGCCUGAGAGGGGGACCGGCCACACUGGGACUGAGACACGGCCCAGUCUCCUACGGGAGGCAGCAGUGGGGAAUAUUGCACAAUGGGCGCAAGCCUGAUGCAGCGACGCCGCGUGUGUGAUGACGGCCUUCGGGUUGUAAACCUCUUUCAGUAGGGAAGAAGCGAAAGUGACGGUACCUGCAGAAGAAGCACCGGCUAACUACGUG